ACUCCUACGGGAGGCAGCAGUGGGGAAUAUUGCACAAUGGGCGCAAGCCUGAUGCAGCCAUGCCGCGUGUGUGAAGAAGGCCUUCGGGUUGUAAAGCACUUUCAGUCGUGAGGAAGGUAGUGUAGUUAAUAGCUGCAGUAUUUGACGUUAGCGACAGAAGAAGCACCGGCUAACUCCGUGCCAGCAGCCGCGGUAAUACGGAGGGUGCGAGCGUUAAUCGGAAUUACUGGGCGUAAAGCGCAUGCAGGUGGUUGUUAAGUCAGAUGUGAAAGCCCGGGGCUCAACCUCGGAAUAGCAUUUGAAACUGGCAGACUAGAGUACUGUAGAGGGGGUAGAAUUUCAGGUGUAGCGGUG
rnacentral:rRNA from 1 species